rnacentral:rRNA from 1 species
AUGACGCUCAUCAGCUGGAACUGUCGAGGAAUUGGGCAGCCUCGCACAGUUCAUGAGCUAGUGGGCCUUGUGCACACAUAUAAGCCUAAGUUAGUUUUUCUGUCAGAAACUCGGAAAAGCGAUGAGUACGUGAAUAAUCUUAGAUGGAGGCUGGGCCUUCGGCAUUGUAUUGUGCAGCCCGGCAUCGGCAAGAGUGCCGGGAUUGUGCUGUUUUAUGAGGAGGGUGUGGAAAUAAAGGAAAUCGCUGUUGGACCGAGGUAUAUCUAUGUGCUAAUUCGGUUAAGUCCCAAUGCUAUGCAAUGGAGGGGUACAUUCGUAUAUGGAGAACCUAAAUCACAUGAACGACAUCACAUGUGGGAACUCCUGAGAAGGAUUAGGAACAAUUCUUCUGAACCGUGGCUCAUGAUAGGUGAUUUUAACGAAACCAUGUGACAGAGCGAACACUUCUCGCGAGCAAAAAGGUCUGAAAGUAAUAUGGCCAAUUUUCGCCAAGUUCUUGCGGACUGCAAUCUUCAGGACCUGUGUUUCAAAGGUACGACGUGGACGUAUGAUAAUAAAUAGCGUGGGGACAAGAAUGUCAAGGCUCGCCUAGAUAGAGGGGUUGCAACACGAGAAUGGUGCAAAGCGUUUGGAGAGGCCAAGAUCAAACAUAUCUGUUCCUCAAGAUCGGAUCACGUCCCCUUGCUGUUGCGAUUUGGAAAG